AUUACGUGAUAUUUUAUUCCAAUAUUAUUAUCCUUGUCCCUCCGAUCUUAGAGUCCAUAUGAGGCCCACGUCUACGAAUAGGCAGGCUUUUUUCUUCUUCUUAAAUUUCACGUAGUUCCAGCAUUGGAUAUUUCUAGGCUAUGAAACAUUUUAUUUAUAAAGAAAAAUGACACGAUGUUAGGUAGGGCAUCCACUAUAUACCUUGUGGAGCCAAAGAGGAGAGCUAUGUGUGUGUUUGACACUAAUACGGAAAGAUCAUGUAUUCACGUGCCCCAAUUUUUACACCUAAAAUCUCCCCUGACAGCAGUCAGCAGUUAUGCAUGUCUUCACUGUGUAUUAGGAUUAUUCCUCAAAGCAAGCAACAAAGCUUAGUCCUUGUAAUGGUCCAAGUUGUGCAGUACUGAUACAGUUUGACUCUCAUAAUCCAAAUUGUUUUCCUAGCUCUAUUGUUUCUUUCCCUAUAUUUAGGCAUAUUGUUGUUGACUAGAUGUCAUAAACUAUGUUAGCUACGUGGCUUCGCUUUCGGUGUCACUAGAUCUCUUCAUGUGAAGAAGUGCAGAAGCUCACCCUUACUUCAGAGCUAAUGGAUGUUCCACAUUUGCUUGUUGCAAAUACUAUUACACAUAUUAGGUGUUGUUCAACUAUAAUUCCAAUUGUAUGUCUUGGUUUUUCCUAUGCUUGAUCAUAUUCCAGUAUAUGAGUAUGACCAGAAUUCUUCACUAUUUCAAAAUAACAAAGUUCUAACUGCUGCUGACACUGAUUUUUCUCCCUUCUGGGGAAUAUGGAAACCCGGUUUGUUACUUUUAGCUGGGAUAAACCAAUUCUAGUUGCUUGGGGAAUAUCAGAUAAGUAUCUCCCACAAUCAGUUGCGGAAGAAUUUCAGAAGGGAAAUCCUAGAUCUGUCGAGCUUAAGCUGAUUGAAGGUGCUGGCCAUAUGCCACAAGAAGACUGGCCUGAGAAAGUAGUUGAUGCUCUUAGAAUGUUUCUCCGAGUUUGAGAACACGACCUUUAACCGUGGAUUCUCAACUACUCCAGACGGUAUUCCACUUGCAGCAGUGUUCAUAUGAAGGUUAAUAAUGCUUGCUAAGGUGGCCUCUUUUUUCUAAUUUGAAAAGCAUAGUGAAAUUAUUAUGAUAAUGUAAAUGCAAUCGUAUAUAAAGGCAACAAUUAAUGGUUGAA